GGCUUACCAAGGCGAUGAUGCAUAGCCGAGUUGAGAGACUGAUCGGCCACAAUGGAACUGAGACACGGUCCAUACUCCUACGGGAGGCAGCAGUAGGGAAUCUUCCACAAUGGGCGCAAGCCUGAUGGAGCAACACCGCGUGAGUGAAGAAGGGUUUCGGCUCGUAAAGCUCUGUUGUUGGAGAAGAACGUGCGUGAGAGUAACUGUUCACGCAGUGACGGUAUCCAACCAGAAAGUCACGGCUAACUACGUGCCAGCAGCCGCGGUAAUACGUAGGUGGCAAGCGUUAUCCGGAUUUAUUGGGCGUAAAGCGAGCGCAGGCGGUUGCUUAGGUCUGAUGUGAAAGCCUUCGGCUUAACCGAAGAAGUGCAUCGGAAACCGGGCGACUUGAGUGCAGAAGAGGACAGUGGAACUCCAUGUGUAGCGGUGGAAUGCGUAGAUAUAUGGAAGAACACCAGUGGCGAAGGCGGCUGUCUGGUCUGCAACUGACGCUGAGGCUCGAAAGCAUGGGUAGCGAACAGGAUUAGAUACCCUGGUAGUCCAUGCCGUAAACGAUGAGUGCUAGGUGUUGGAGGGUUUCCGCCCUUCAGUGCCGGAGCUAACGCAUUAAGCACUCCGCCUGGGGAGUACGACCGCAAGGUUGAAACUCAAAGGAAUUGACGGGGGCCCGCAC
rnacentral:rRNA from 2 species